AACGAACGUUAGCGGCGCGCUUAACACAUGCAAGUCGAACGAGAAAGGGUCACUUCGGUGACCCCGGUAAAGUGGCGCACGGGUGAGUAACACGUGGAUAACCUACCCCGGGCGGGGGAUAACGUACCGAAAGGGACGCUAAUACCGCAUAAGACCACGACCUGAAACGGUUGAGGUCAAAGUAGCCCUCUAUAUAUAAGGUUACACCUGGGGAUGGGUCCGCGGCCCAUCAGGUAGUAGGUGGGGUAAUGGCCUACCUAGCCAAAGACGGGUAGCUGGUCUGAGAGGAUGAUCAGCCACACUGGAACUGAGACACGGUCCAG
rnacentral:rRNA from 1 species